UGUUUCAGCACCAGUACCGGCCUGCAUAAUUUGUAAUGGUUUAGUAGUCUUGUAAUCAUCUUUGUGAGGUAGAGUUUGAGUACUUCUUGUACUUUAUCGGUUCUUGGUGGGUUCAGUACCACUUGUACUCUGUUCUCUCUUUCUCCGUUAAUAAAUUUUUCGCUGUUAAAAAAAUAGUCCUGUGAUCAUCUACUAAGAUGCUACAACUGAUUUGUUAUAUUCUUGAAUGUAGUUGUGAUUGAAUAAAUCAUUUUAAGAUGGGAUUGACAAGCUG
rnacentral:lncRNA from 1 species